rnacentral:rRNA from 1 species
ACCAGCCAUGCCGCGUGCAGGAAGACAGCUUUCUGAGUUGUAAACUGCUUUUAUAUGGGAAGAAAAAGGCCUUGCGAGGCAAAUUGCCGGUACCAUAUGAAUAAGCACCGGCUAACUCCGUGCCAGCAGCCGCGGUAAUACGGAGGGUGCAAGCGUUGUCCGGAUUUAUUGGGUUUAAAGGGUGCGUAGGCGGAUCUUUAAGUCAGUGGUGAAAUCCUGCAGCUUAACUGUAGAACUGCCAUUGAUACUGGAGGUCUUGAGUAUACUAGAGGUAGGCGGAAUUUAUGGUGUAGCGGUGAAAUGCAUAGAUACCAUAAAGAACACCGAUAGCGUAGGCAGCUUACUGGAGUAUAACUGACGCUGAGGCACGAAAGCAUGGGUAGCGAACAGGAUUAGAUACCCUGGUAGUCCAUGCCGUAAACGAUGAUUAC